rnacentral:rRNA from 1 species
GGAAAUCUCACCAGGCCCGGACACUGGAAGGAUUGACAGAUUGAUAGCUCUUUCUUGAUUCAGUGGGUGGUGGUGCAUGGCCGUUCUUAGUUGGUUGAGUGAUUUGUCGGCUUAAUUUGACUCAACGCGGGAAAUCUCACCAGGCCCGGACACUGGAAGGAUUGACAGAUUGAUAGCUCUUUCUUGUUAGCAAUAA